GACGAACGCUGGCGGCGUGCUUAACACAUGCAAGUCGAACGGAAAGGCCCUGCUCUUGUGGGGUGCUCGAGUGGCGAACGGGUGAGUAACACGUGAGUAACCUGCCCUUGACUUUGGGAUAACUUCAGGAAACUGGGGCUAAUACCGGAUAGGAGCUCCUGCUGCAUGGUGGGGGUUGGAAAGUUUCGGCGGUUGGGGAUGGACUCGCGGCUUAUCAGCUUGUUGGUGGGGUAGUGGCGUACCAAGGCUUUGACGGGUAGCCGGCCUGAGAGGGUGACCGGCCACCUUGGGCCUGCGGUACGGCCCAGACUCCUACGGGAGGCAGCAGUGGGGAACAUUGCACAAUGGGCGGACGCCUGAUGCAGCGACGCCGCGUGCGGGAUGACGGCCUUCGGGUUGUAAACCGCUUUCGCCUGUGACGAAGCGUGAGUGACGGUAAUGGGUAAAGAAGCACCGGCUAACUACGUG
rnacentral:rRNA from 1 species